CACACCAGUGUGCGCACACACAUCUACAUACCCAUACAUGCCUGCACGCACACAUACUUCUACACACACAUAUGUCUCACUGGCCCCAGACAGAGUUAGAAUGGGCUGUCCUUCCUGAGAGCACCAUGUACUGGCCAUGUGAUCACAAGCCACAUCACCUUCAUGAGCCUCAGGCUCCUUGUUGGCUAAUUCCAGUCCUUACCUGGCUGGUUUGUUUUGAGGAUUACAUGAGAUAAUGUAUUCCCAAGUGCUAGGUAAAUGCGAAAAUGCUGCACAAAUAGUUCUUCUUAUUAACACAAUUAUAGUCUGCACUGAACAAUUUAGUACUUUUAAGCUAUCUUGUAUUUUUUACUAAUUGCUUUUUGAAUUAGUCUUAUCUUGCCUACAAGACUGCCUCUUCCUCAAGGACCCAGUUGGUCUGCAGCCCCACAGUGCUGGCACAGCUCUGGGCACAGGGUUGGAGGUGCCUUGCCCAGCCAAUGUGCCUGGCAACAGGCUCUGUGGGGCUCGUUUGGGGGUUCAAUGGGAUGGAUUGGCCAGUAGUGGCUCUGCUAGCUUGUUAACAAGCCUUGCUGAUUUGCAACGACGAUGGGGAUGGAAUGAUGCCCUUUAUUGAGCAUUAGUGACUGGCUGAGCCCUUGGUGAAGUACUUCCCAGACAUGGACUCCUCUAACAGUCAUGAGGAUUAUCUGAGAAAGGACUAUUAGGAUCUCCAUUUUAGAGAUGAGGAAAUGAAACACAGAGAGGUUAAGCCAUUUGCUGAAGGCCACCCCAGCCAGUGAGUGGUGGAGGAGAGAUGCGAGGCUGAGUGUAGGGUCUGUGAGCUUGAACGUCGUGCUAGCCUAGAAGAGGCACUUUGGGCCAGAUGGCCUUUGGGUUCUCUUGAAAUCAGGAUCUGUGGUCAUCCGAAGGUUAGAUGGGGAGAUGGCUGAGUCUGAGAAAGCCAGGUGCUCUGGGGAGGAGCAGGGAGCCAGAACUUUUGCUGGGGGCUUGCCCCUGGCUCAGGUUCCCACUUGGAGCUGGGGUCCUCACUGGGGAAGGCUGGGAACAAGAGUCUGCUGAGUGGGGUGGGUGUUGUCUUGGGAGGCAAGUGGCGUGACAGAAGAUCUGAGAGGCUUUUCAGUGGCUGACAGGGAGGCCCUGCCGUGUGGGCCCACUGGGAAGACCCAGAUGGGCGGAGCUGGGGAGACUUUGUUGAGUUUUCUGUGUCCCCAAAUAAAGGGUGAGCAACAUGAGGAGGGCCGGGCCAUUAACCUCCUAAAGGGGGAGAGGGAUGAUUUCUCUGUCCUGCUCAAGAAAGCUUCUCCCCAGAUCCACCCUUCAGCCUACCAGGUGCUGGGCCCUGUGUUGGGUUCCCAGGGAGAGAGAAAGGGUAGGAAAAGACAGGGCUGGGGUUAACUUAUGUAGAAGGAUAAAAGCCUGUGACAACACCCAGGCCCCAAGGCUGUGAGUGACCAGCUCUUGAAUGCAGGAGCCCGGCAGCCCUCCUGUGGCCCCCCUCUUCCCCAUCCAGCUCCAACACUGACCCACAGUGUUGCAGUGAUUGGUUUAGGGGUCUGCUCCCCGAAUACUUAAACAUUUUUGCAAGACUCCUGUCCAAUACCCCAUCAAACAAGACCUAGCCCCCAAACUUAGCCUUCCUGAGUAUGGCCUCAGUGAGUGGCUGACUAGAAAAGAACUGGCAGGAGGGCUGCAGACCCAGAAAAGGAAAGAUGAUGGCAGGGAGAGGGAGUGGUUGGAGAGAAGAAGGCUGGGUUGAGUGUCCAGGGGUCUGUUAGGUGCCGAGGUGGUCCUCCUAGAUUCAGAACUGUUUCCUUCUCCUCCUCAAUAGUUUGGUCAUCACAUAGAUCUAAGAAGGCAGAGGGACCUCUUUCUUCUGAAUGAAUGAUCAGGAGCUAAGUAACCAAGGCCAACCAUAACAAGUACAAAACUAAGAACCCAAGCAAAGCUCUGGGUCCUUCCACGCAGGGUGAAACCACUAGAGCCUUCCUCUGGUGUGGCUUCUAGGAGGAUCCACAGAGUGUCACCUCUCCCACCUCCUAUUCAAUUCCUCGGCCACCUGGAUCACAGUCUUCCUUUACCCUUCCUUAUCCAAGCCAAAUCCCCAAGCGGAGACAGUGCUUGCUUAUAGAAUGGAUUCAGUUUAGGUCUUGAGGGAUCAGAAGGGUGAGGGCUCAGCUCUGUACAAUGCUCCUGCAAAUAAAGGUCACUUUUGCCCUCCUUUCCCCCAAUCUCUGGACAAAAAAAAAAUCCCUCCAAAUUCUCCAAGCCCAGGAGGAGCCAGCCAGUGAUUCACAUGGCCCGCAGAGGGCAGCAGAACACACCCCAAGGCCCUCUCCCUCCGAGGUGACGGACUCCAGCCCCAUCCCCACCCCCUACAUGCAGGGAAACAUCCCAAGCACAGCAUGUUGUGAUUGAUGCCAUAGGACCUUUGCUUGGCACCAACUCACCAGGACACAGACAUAUACAGAAGGAAGAUGAUGUGAAGACACAGGGAGAAGAUGGCCAUCUCCAAGCCAAAGGAGACAGACCCUAUGAGCCAGGCAUGGCUUUAGGUGCAGGGUUAUGAAGUGCCUCCUCCUCCAGAGCUUUCAUACUGGGGAAGGCAAGGAGCAGGCAACAGAGAAAUAAAUACAAAAGCAAGAAAUUCUCUUCAUAAGGAGGCUGCUUAAUUGUGUGGUUCUAUGAUUCAAAUCCAGCGUGGGAGCACAUGAUUCUGCUUUUUCUUUGAAACUUCCUUCUGGAUCCAUGAAGAUGAUAUGGGGGAGUAGCUAUGUUUAGGAUACAAAAAAUGUUGAAUCAUGUCACCAAUAUAUUGGUGAACAUAUGUCAGAACAUGCAAUGAGGCUGAUCAUGAUCAUUGAAGAAUCACACCAGAGUCAAUUGUUCAAUCCCAUCGAUAGAGGUUAUAUUAGAUGUCACAUGUGUGUAUUAGGUAAUGCUUCCUACCAUUUUUCAAGAUGGCAUAUCAUUUUUAAAAAGCAGAGUGUCGAAAUUAUA